rnacentral:rRNA from 1 species
ACGGGAGGCAGCAGUGGGGAAUAUUGCACAAUGGGGGAAACCCUGAUGCAGCGACGCCGCGUGAGUGAAGAAGUAUUUCGGUAUGUAAAGCUCUAUCAGCAGGGAAGAAAAUGACGGUACCUGACUAAGAAGCCCCGGCUAACUACGUGCCAGCAGCCGCGGUAAUACGUAGGGGGCAAGCGUUAUCCGGAUUUACUGGGUGUAAAGGGAGCGUAGACGGCAUAGCAAGUCUGAAGUGAAAACCCAAGGCUCAACCAUGGGAUUGCUUUGGAAACUGUUAAGCUAGAGUGCAGGAGGGGCAGGCGGAAUUCCUAGUGUAGCGGUGAAAUGCGUAGAUAUUAGGAGGAACACCGGUGGCGAAGGCGGCCUGCUGGACGGUAACUGACGUUGAGGCUCGAAAGCGUGGGGAGCAAACAGGAUUAGAUACCCUGGUA